rnacentral:tRNA from 1 species
GCCCGGGUGGCGGAAUUGGUAGACGCGCCAGAUUUAGGAUCUGGUAUCCUUUGGAUGUGAGGGUUCGACCCCCUCCUCGGGCACCA